rnacentral:rRNA from 1 species
UACAGAGGGGGCAAGCGUUGUUCGGAAUUACUGGGCGUAAAGGGCGCGUAGGCGGCCUGCUAAGUCGAACGUGAAAUCCCCGAGCUCAACUCGGGAACUGCGUCCGAUACUGGCAGGCUUGAAUCCGGGAGAGGGAAGCGGAAUUCCGGGUGUAGCGGUGAAAUGCGUAGAUAUCCGGAGGAACACCGGUGGCGAAGGCGGCUUCCUGGACCGAUACUGACGCUGAGGCGCGAAAGCUAGGGGAGCAAACGGG